rnacentral:rRNA from 1 species
CGGCGAGCGAACGGGGAGGAGCCCAGAGCCUGAAUCAGUGUGUGUGUUAGUGGAAGCGUCUGGAAAGGCGCGCGAUACAGGGUGACAGCCCCGUACACAAAAAUGCACAUGCUGUGAGCUCGAUGAGUAGGGCGGGACACGUGGUAUCCUGUCUGAAUAUGGGGGGACCAUCCUCCAAGGCUAAAUACUCCUGACUGACCGAUAGUGAACCAGUACCGUGAGGGAAAGGCGAAAAGAACCCCGGCGAGGGGAGUGAAAAAGAACCUGAAACCGUGUACGUACAAGCAGUGGGAGCACGCUUAGGCGUGUGACUGCGUACCUUUUGUAUAAUGGGUCAGCGACUUAUAUUCUGUAGCAAGGUUAACCGAAUAGGGGAGCCGAAGGGAAACCGAGUCUUAACUGGGCGUUAAGUUGCAGGGUAUAGACCCGAAACCCGGUGAUCUAGCCAUGGGCAGGUUGAAGGUUGGGUAACACUAACUGGAGGACCGAACCGACUAAUGUUGAAAAAUUAGCGGAUGACUUGUGGCUGGGGGUGAAAGGCCAAUCAAACCGGGAGAUAGCUGGUUCUCCCCGAAAGCUAUUUAGGUAGCGCCUCGUGAAUUCAUCUCCGGGGGUAGAGCACUGUUUCGGCAAGGGGGUCAUCCCGACUUACCAACCCGAUGCAAACUGCGAAUACCGGAGAAUGUUAUCACGGGAGACACACGGCGGGUGCUAACGUCCGUCGUGAAGAGGGAAACAACCCAGACCGCCAGCUAAGGUCCCAAAGUCAUGGUUAAGUGGGAAACGAUGUGGGAAGGCCCAGACAGCCAGGAUGUUGGCUUAGAAGCAGCCAUCAUUUAAAGAAAGCGUAAUAGCUCACUGGUCGAGUCGGCCUGCGCGGAAGAUGUAACGGG